rnacentral:tRNA from 1 species
AGUUCAACGGAUAGAAUAGAAGUUUCCUAAACUUUAGAUAUGAGUUCGAUUCUCGUC